AGUGAGCAUGGGAUACUGAAGGGAGGAAAAGAGAAAGUGGUUUAGGAGUGACUGGGCCACAGUGAGUGAAGCGAACUGAGAUCCUGGAAGUCUCACUGUGGAGAAAGCAGUAAUUUUAUCAGAGAAGGCCCACAGGUGUGGAAAACACUAAAGGAAAGAAAUCUACCUCUUGACACAAGCAGCUGUGACUCCAAAAGAAUGGGCCAUGUGAAGUUCUGGCUCCCCAUUUGCCUUCUGCCAUGACUGUAAGUUUCCUGAGGCCUCCCCAGAAGACAAGCAGAUUGCCAGCAUCAUGCUUCCUGUACAGCUUGUGGAAGUGUGAACCAAUUAAACUCUUUUUCUUUGUAAAUUACC
rnacentral:lncRNA from 1 species